CCCAUAUCUACCAGAAAACACCAAACACAGGGGCUUCAGGGCCCCAUAUCUAUAAAAACACCAAACACAGGGGCUUCAGGGCCCCAUAUCUACCAUGGGACAUUUAUAAUAUGGCUGUUUUCUCAUGUAGCAGAGGUGACUUUGGGGCCACAUACCACCGAUUCCUCUGCGCCCCCUAUAGUUACGUCCCAGCUCAGUGUAAUACAACCUUCUAUAUAUACACAGGAAUUGUUAGAGGAUCAUACACCUGAUUAUUUAUAAGUUAAUAGAUUCAGGUUGGGAUCCUAAUCAGAUUGACUACAAAGAGCGUCUCCAUCUCUGGAGGACCCGCCCCGUCCUGCGUUACACGGACGACCCAUUGAUGUGAAAUGGACAAUGUGGCCUGAUGAAGCGCCAGUGGGCACGAUACAGUCUGUGGCCGGCGUCUGAGGCUCCUCUCGUUACACCCGUCACCGCCCCGCCAUGGAAGACCGGGACUGAGAUCAUGUAUCAGCCGCUAGCCCCCGCACGAGAGUCGCAGUGUGAGUGCCCCGUAUCCUUCUAGGUUUGCUACAGUUGUAACCAGUGUAAUAUACGUAGAGCACCUCCAGACAUCAUAGCUCCCUCCUAUUUACAUACAUCCAACUGUUUGAUAAGUAACUGCUAUAUUUGCCACAUAUUGGAAGAUAGUAGUAUUAGUGCCGUCUCCGACUUUUCUUUGGGAUUGGACAACGUGUAAUGCUUCGUUUCCCCUGUGGUGGCGCUGCAGAGGAAUCAAACACUUACUGCCCGUCUCCUCACACAUAAUGAUGACUUGGGGUCUCAGUCAAUGGACUCUACUAUUAAGUAGUGGACUCUAGACCGAACUAUUAAAGGGAUACUCGGCUGCUAGACAUCAUAUCCCCUAUACAAAAGGAUAGGGAGAUAAGAUGUCUGAUCGCAGGGGGUCCCUCUGCUGGGAGCCCCCUUGAUCUCCUGAACUGAACCCCGGGGUCCAACUGCAGUGGUAAAGACGUCCCGCCACACCCUUUAGUGAUGCCCCCACCAUUCAUGUCUAUGGGAGGGGGUGUAGCGGCCCAUAGACAUUUAGAUAGGGGAUAGGAUGCCUAGCAGUGGAGAACCCCUUUAAGUAAGGGAUUUGGGACUCAACUACUAAGUAGGAAACGUUGGACUGAACUAUUAAGUAGGGAGAUGAACAAUAUCCAAUGUGGUGUAUUACAUAGGGGCAGCCAUGCAGAUGUAAUGUGGCCCUUAGAAACAAGGGUCCCGGCCUUGGAUGGUCACUCUGGACUCUGGAGGUGGAAGGUGCUGAGGGUCCUAAUACAGGCCUAUUGUAUGGUGUUCCCCAACCUCUACCUGUUCCUUGGAGGGUGAUGGACCCCACAACAUUGUGCCCCUACCUGCCCCCACAACAACAUUGUGCCCCCCCCCCCCCCCCAGACACUGUAAAAUCCCAGAAGCCGAAGUGUCUAGUUUGCAUUAUUCCCGACACGUCUGCUAAGCUCCUUCCCGUCACCCGGCCAUGAUGAAGGGCGGGAUCUGUAAUUAGAAGGUCUCACCUUCGCUCACUGCCAUGUUAUUAAUGAAAGACAGUAGUGAAUUUAAGGAGGAGAGGCGUAUACCUGUGACACAUAUCAUUAUCAUGCUCUGCCCUUCCUAAUCUCCCUCUCAUUACAGGCGGCUCUUAAAGGAGAAACUACACAUCUACAAGACACUCCAAUAUGGACGGAUAUGCUGAGCGCGGGCUUCAAGUUUAUUUUAGUUUUAUGUGAAAUUCAUCCGCACCAUCUGUGAAUCACUUCGCCGAUGAUCCUAUAACUCCUGGGGGAUCAUUAUAUAGGAAAAGUGUGGGAACUGGAGAUGAAGGGAACAGAUUAGGAACGUGGGAAGUGAGGCCAAUGGAAGAUUUCCUGAAUUACAUAAAAUAUCCAUAUUAUUUAUCAUCAUCCCCUGAAGAAGUGGCAUAAUAGCGAAACGAUCGUUGGGGUUCAGGUGUAGGUAUGGUUUUGCACCCUUUACUGUUUACUUUUGGCAGGUAUUAUUCUUGUAUCCUACCAGCUACUGUGGCAUUUACUCCCUAUACUUGUAUAUUUUGAUGUAUUUGGGUCCUACCAUUGUCCUAUAUCUUUGAAUGUCCACUAGUGCCUAUUUAUUGCUACUACUUUCUUUGUUUUAAUUCUACGAUCUAUUUUUUAUUAUUAAAUUGCAUUAAUAAAGUUUAUUUUUUACAUUC